ensembl:lncRNA
CACAAUAAACAGUUUGUAUAUUUUCUUUCCCAUCUCAUGGGAAUGUAGGGACGUUUUUAUGGGUUUCCACCGAACCGUAUGUGUGUGUGUGUGUGUGUGUGUGUGUGUGCUCUCAACUCUCUGUCUCCCCUCCCCCCAACUCUCUCUUCUUGUCUCACACCUUAACCUACCUGGCUGCCUCUGUGUACUGCGCAGACACACCCGGCCGCCACCAUUUCAACCAAUCACUGCUCCAACACACAGGCACCCAGGAGGUGUACUUCCUGUAUUUUUUUUUACGAGAAUGGAAUGGGGCUUCAGGCAGAAGAGGGUUUAGCACUCUACUUUGCCAUGGGGGGCCCACACAGGCAACCUCAUGGGUCGGGGUAACCGGGACUAAAGUACUGGAUAAGCUCGAUUUACGACAGAUCUGCCUAUUCAGUAACGGCCUCAGCGAGGACAAGGCAGAGAGAAGGAGGAGGGGAAAGAUAAGUGUCAAUCUGUUGAAACUUGUUUGGGAAUUUGAGAAAGGAGGGGAGGUGGGGCGAGCCUGAGAGCGAGGCAGCGAGAGGGAAAAACAAGGAGGGUUCAGGCGUAAACAUUACGCUUCUCACAAGAGUCAAAGUAUUGAGGGGAGAGGGAAGCUUUAAUUGAUUUAAAAAUGGAGGACAUUUGCUAUGUCAGCGGGACAAUGUGUAAACAGGGAACACAUUUUUGUGUGUUGUGCAAUCCCAUGCUUUUGAGUUGAACUGGACCCGGGGGGGGGGCAACAGACCUUCUCAGCAUACAACAUUCAGGCUCUCCAAAUUAUGCUACAAUGGGUACCAAAAGGCUUAGCUGGAACCCCUUUGAGACUUUAUCAAGCAAAGGCAAAUCUGACUCCAAGCUCCAGCCAGGUGGAAAGAUUUCCCGUGAUCCAAGUCCCAGCCCAGCAAUGACGGCCCAGUCGGAGCGAGAGAGAGACAGUAGGCGAGAGGAAGACCGGAGGAGCGAGAGAGAGACGUUAAAAAUGAGGGACAAAGCCAGAAGCAAAGAAACGGACCCACGGGAUAGGUACUAUGGAAGGGAUCGAGCUCCUGCACUCCGGCCCAGAGAGGGAGAAAGAGAGUGGAGGGAGAGAGAAAGGAGGCAAGGAGAAGACAGAAGCAGGAACGGCAGGCUGCUGUCGAAUCUAGAGGAU